GGAGGGGUGCCGGAGCGGUUGAACGGGACGGUCUCGAAAACCGUUGAUCCCUUUUUGGGGUCCGUGGGUUCGAAUCCCACCCCCUCCG
rnacentral:tRNA from 1 species